CUUCGAUUUCUGGUUGCUCCCUUCGGCUGCUGCUCUAUUCCCAAAAAUCAUCUCGUCCAAGUCGGCCAUGGCCGCGUCGUCGUGUGUCGAGCUGGGAGGAGCGCUGGGCUUUAAGUCACGCUUCCGCACUAGCGAGGCUUCUUCAGCAGUACCGUGGGUGUCGUCGUCGUCCAAAGCUUGAACAUGAACGAACGUGGACUCUGCUGCUGGUUGAGUUUGCUCCGCGGUUCCCUUCGACAUCUCCUCAAACUUUGUCAGGACGCGCUGAAGGUCGUCAUUCACGUUCAGUGCCUCAAAGAGCACUGGAUCGGCGUCGCCUGUUCUCUCCACAAUUCUCUGC
rnacentral:lncRNA from 1 species